CCACCCCUGUGGUGCAUAGCCCCCAGCACUGGCAGCAGCAGCCAGCUGGGCCAUACAGUCUGUGCAUGGAGAACAGGCCCCGCCCACCCCGCUAGCACACCUUGGGACAGGACCGGGAUGGCUCCUUCCACCACCUGCGGGUUCUGCACAAAGCCAUGUGCUAGUGGGGCAGGGCGAGUCAGGUCAGGCUGGGCCCUUUCUCCAUAAGGGUUAGGUGACAAUGUGCAGCUGCGGAGCUGUGCCUACAGUGGGCCAUGACCUCUCUGAUGGCUUGGCUCAUUGCUGCUGCCAGCGCCGGGGGCUGUGCACUGCAGGGCAUGGAUUGUGGUGGGUGGGCGUGUGGCAGCCCCCCCUCAAAUCCCUACAGAAACCUCAUAUCCCCCCCACACCCACCCACACACCGCACUCCCACCUACAUCCCCCCACAUCCAAUUAUACACCACACAUCCCCCCCCACACUCAGCCACACACCCCACAUCCCUUCCCACCCCACCUCCAGCAAACUCCACAUCCCCCCAUCACACACCCAGCAUGCCCAGCUGCCAGACAGGAUGAGACCUGCUGGCAGGAGCUGUGGCUGCAGGGGAAACUGUCCCUACUUCCUGGUUAGUGAAGGGGUCAGGGGGAGCUCUGAUUUUUCUAUGAUAAGAAAACCAAAAGCAAACAUCAACAGGAAGAACAUCCAUAUAAAAUAAGUCAUACUAGUAUAGCUUCUUAUUCUGGAUAAUUACUGUCAACACAGCAAGCCAUGAACAUGUCAAGCUAACCUUUCUCAUACUCCUGUCAAAACACUUAGUUCCAUUAUGUAAAUAUUCACUGAGGUUGUUUCAGGUAAAAAAGAACAAGCUAGUUCAGAAUUUUUGCCUUUGUUUCCAUUGUGUACGCUCCCCAAUGUGCCCACCCAACUAUAGCAGAUGGAGAGAUCAAAACAAAUCUUUACCAUGACUCUAUAUUAGCUUUAUUCCAGAUAUAAAGGUUACUUAUUUGAAGUAUUCUCCCUUCACAAACAACUACCAGCACUUCUGAAAGAUCACUUAAAUGUUACUUGUCUGCAUGAAUAUUUGGGUUUUUCUUUGGUGGUAAUCAAUUUCUCCAGCAAAACAACCUUCAGUCACAAUUCUAUAGACAUGUCUGGGUUGACCCUUUUAAAUGGCUGGGAGGGUAGGGUUUCUUAUAAGCCUCAUUUCAGCUUUAGUGCUAGCUUUCAACUUGAACUUUUCUCUGGGAUCAGUGGCUGGACUAGUCAAUAGUCUGAGAACUUAAAGUGACAGGAUUUUCAUAGAUUUUAUAGAAAUUAGGGCUGGAAGGGACCUUGAAAGAUCGAGUCCAACCCGCUGCACCAGGAGCAGGAAGUCAGCUGGGGUCAAAGGAUUCCUGCAAGAUAAGUGUCCAAACGUUUCUUAAAAGAAUCCACAGUAGAUGCUUGCACCACCUCUGGAGGCAGUCUAUUCUAGGCCUUGGACAGUAAACAAGUUUUUCCUUAUAUCCAACCUGAAACGGUCUUGAAGGAGUUUGUGACCAUUGGACCUUGUCAUCCCUUGGGGCGCUCUGGUGAACAGGUAUUCCCCCAGAUCCUGAUGCACACCUCUUAUAUACUUAUAGGCUGCCACCAAGUCACCCCAGAGCCUGAGCUUUUUUAGGCUGAAGAGUCCCAUGGCUCUCAGCCUCUCUUCAUAAGGCCUGUUCUCCUGCCCUCUGAUCAUGCGCUUGGCUGUCCUCUGGACUCCCUCAAGCUUCUCCACAUCCUUCUUGAAUUGAAUUUUGAUUCUUCCCUUCUGUUUCAUCUUUCUGCAUCUCCUGGGAAAAUUGUUUGCAAAAUGAAAGUUGAGCAGGACAUCAUUAACUGUCAUGGCAUAAUGCACCAUGGCUUGAUAGCCACUUUGAGAGAUAUGGUCAUCAGUACCAUUGAUGAACUCAGAGAGAAGUUCUAGGUGACACCAUGAAUAUGAGUGAAUAAUUUCCUGUGCCUUUCACCUGAGCGUCAGGUCUGUGUGAUUUUUCUGGCUUCACUGUGGCUUUAAGGAAGGAACAGGCUUGUUAAUAGAACAGACCUCGGUUGGUACUCCUUGGGGGUCUUCCCUGCCACAUCUUUGAUGGAAAAUUACUUUUUAUGGGAGGAAGAUGGUCUAUCCUGCCUACCAUGGGUACCUUUCUCCAGCCAUUCCGGUUGUCCUUCCUGCUUGGGGCUCCACCUCCCCUACACCCCACCUAACACCAACCACAGAUGGUUUUGUCUGGCCCACCAGGAUUAGUAUCAUGCACCCUUUUGGUGUCUUGGCCCCUUUUGAAUUUACACUGGUGGUAUCGGGACGUUGAUCUGACCCGGUUAUUCUAUGCCUCACCUUGCUUUAUUUAUUGGUCUCAUUGGUCCCAGCCUGUUGUGUUCUCCAGCGUCCCACUCUUAGCUCGAGUUUUGUACCUCCCAUAAGUUGUGUCUGCUGGUCCCUUCUCUAUCUGGUUCUGUCAAUAUCCAGCCUGUGUUGAGGAUCUCCGAUGUCCACGGAGAACCCUCUGAUAAGCUGUGGAGCUGCUUUGGCUCUGAUGCUUUGAAGAGGCCCCCUCCUGGGGUAGCCGCCACGUCCCUGAGCUGGGACUGCCUUCAGUGCCAGGCCCCUCCAGGCCAGUUGAAGACCUCACUUCCGGUCCUCGCCGCUGAUUCCCUGCCGAGCCUUUUAUCCCGGCUGCAGGGUUCCAGCCAGCGAAUCGGCCCUGGCACGCUCCUUUGAAGUGUGCCCAUGCCAACGUGGGAGCCAAUCCCAGCUCCUGACUCAGCAUUUUUUUUUUCUUCUUCGCCACAGCGAAUGGGAACGCUGCAGUUUCACUUUCACUGCGCUCCGUUUCCAGCAUGGCAUCCCACCGGCGCCUCUCCUCAUCAAAAGGAGGUUAUUAAUCAGUUCCUUGAGACAUUCCAAACCAGAUAACCCCUUGCCACUGAAAAAGGUAAUUCAUGUAAAUUAGAACUGUUUAAAUAACAGGAUUUUCCCUGUAAGUUAUGGCUUGGGACUCUCUUGAUUUACACGACUAAAAGAAUGUUUUGAAGAGGCUGGACUAAGGGUAUAAGAAAGCAGUAAGCAGAAAACAGUAUGUGCUUCAAGAGGGAAAAUCUCUCUGACACGAUCUGCUGUUGUUCUCGAGAAGCUGAGAUAAACAGAUCAUCUCUUUUUGUCGCCUGUUUAACCUUCAGCAAUCAUGCUAGGAACUUUGCCUGUCAACAAAACACCUGAGUGCCAUGGAUUGGUGAGAUCCCAGCUCUCGCUCUCGGUCUCUCUCUCUCUCUCUAGGCAUAGCUUUCUGAACUUGAAUUGUAUUAGUUAAGCUUGAGGUAGGUUUCCCCAAAUACUCAACUGAACCAGGGUAAUAUUGUAAUUGUUUUUGUUUGUUUUUCCUUGCAUGGCUGUUACUACAAGUACCAUCAUAAAUUUCAUAUACUUAGCAAUAAAUAACUUUUAUAGUCAAA